rnacentral:rRNA from 1 species
ACAGAUGCUAAUACCGCAUAACARCGUUGUUCGCAUGAACAACGCUUAAAAGAUGGCUUCUCGCUAUCACUUCUGGAUGGACCUGCGGUGCAUUAGCUUGUUGGUGGGGUAAYGGCCUACCAAGGCGAUGAUGCAUAGCCGAGUUGAGAGACUGAUCGGCCACAAUGGGACUGAGACACGGCCCAUACUCCUACGGGAGGCAGCAGUAGGGAAUCUUCCACAAUGGGCGCAAGCCUGAUGGAGCAACACCGCGUGAGUGAAGAAGGGUUUCGGCUCGUAAAGCUCUGUUGUUAAAGAAGAACACGUAUGAGAGUAACUGUUCAUACGUUGACGGUAUUUAACCAGAAAGUCACGGCUAACUACGUGCCAGCAGCCGCGGUAAUACGUAGGUGGCAAGCGUUAUCCGGAUUUAUUGGGCGUAAAGAGAGUGCAGGCGGUUUUCUAAGUCUGAUGUGAAAGCCUUCGGCUUAACCGGAGAAGUGCAUCGGAAACUGGAUAACUUGAGUGCAGAAGAGGGUAGUGGAACUCCAUGUGUAGCGGUGGAAUGCGUAGAUAUAUGGAAGAACACCAGUGGCGAAGGCGGCUACCUGGUCUGCAACUGACGCUGAGACUCGAAAGCAUGGGUAGCGAACAGGAUUAGAUACCCUGGUAGUCCAUGCCGUAAACGAUGAGUGCUAGGUGUUGGAGGGUUUCCGCCCUUCAGUGCCGGAGCUAACGCAUUAAGCACUCCGCCUGGGGAGUACGACCGCAAGGUUGAAACUCAAAGGAAUUGACGGGGGCCCGCACAAGCGGUGGAGCAUGUGGUUUAAUUCGAAGCUACGCGAAGAACCUUACCAGGUCUUGACAUCUUGCGCCAACCCUAGAGAUAGGGCGUUUCCUUCGGGAACGCAAUGACAGGUGGUGCAUGGUCGUCGUCAGCUCGUGUCGUGAGAU